UACGCUCCCGUCCGCGCAGAUUCCUCCGGGGACAUCUGCGCACAGCAUUGGGUGUACACCGGUCGCACCUAUACGCAUGCUCCGGAGCGCUACAGCAAACAAACCAGUACCGAAGUUAACAUUGAAAAUUUUAGAAAAUAGUGUACUGGCUGAUGGAGUUACUUUAGAUGCACUGGUGCCAUGAGAGGACUUGAUGUAGGAACCAGGAGAGACUCGGACCGGAGGCUGGACGGAGGAGACGGACCUGAAGAACCACGACUGAAAUGAUCUCUGCCGUGAUGACGGCUGCUCUCGGUCCAGCAGCACCGCUCGGUCCCGUGUCCUGCUCAGCAUCGGUCCGGUACCGGGUGUGUGUGUGUUGGGGGGGCGGGGACCUGGCCAUGGUGCAGCUGCUGUAUGAGACAUAAAUAAACGAAACAAUAAAAAA